UACAGAGGUGCCGAGCGUUAGGCGGAAUCACUGGGCUUAAAGCGUGUGUAGGCGGAUGCCUAAGUAUCUUGUGAAAUCCCACGGCUUAACCGUGGAACUGCUCGGUAUACUGGGUGUCUUGAGCCACUUAGGGGUUACCGGAACAAAUGGUGGAGCGGUGAAAUGCGUAGAUAUCAUUUGGAACGCCAAUGGUGAAAACAGGUAACUGGGAGUGUGCUGACGCUGAGACACGAAAGCCAGGGGAG
rnacentral:rRNA from 1 species